CUGAUCGAACGCUGCUAGGAAGGAAGAUUCGCACAGAACACAGUUUUUGCUUUUCAUCCGGCUCGUGGUGCUGUUGUGCAAAAGGGAACUACCAACAGAAGCCCAACAGAAGCUUGGGAGGUGUGUGCGUGUUGGUAGGACACUACGCGCGGAAUGAUUCUGUUGCCGAAAUCUGUUUCCACAGCCUCCGCCUGGAAAGGUAAGCACGCACACACACGCGGUGGCUCGAGAAGCAACUAACAGGUUAGCACCUUUCGCAUACACAUCGCACCAGGCACCAGACAGACAGACAGGAGGAUCCACAACAAGCGCGUCGCUAGAGUAGCUUGUUUUUUUGUUUGUUCGUUUGCUGUCUGAAAACAACAGUACCAAACAGUAUCUGUCAUCCAGCAGGGGAUCCAAGAGACUCGCACACAUAUCACACCAACACACAUCAACGAGGGUAACAGGCUGCUGUGGCCCGCAAGAAACACCGCCGCACACACAGCAACAAUCAGUGCCUGGUCUGUUAUCACGCGCGUCGCUUGAUGAGCGUCGCAUCUUCUCCAUGCCUCACCCGCCACACGUGUGUGUGUGCGUCCAAAUAUUCCGAACGCAAAAUUGAAGCCGAAGCUGGGAGUAGAAGACGUGUGCCAAAAUGGCACAACACACAACGAAGCGACGAUCGCACUCGAAAGAGUUGCACCCAGAGCUUUCGGAACAAAGAUAGAGAGCCGGUGACGCUCGUCGGGCCUGUGAUGUUUGGGCGACACGAAACAUACACACACACACACACACACACACACACACACAAAACAACAAACAACCAACAAAAAAACAUACAUUUUGAUUAUCAAGUUUUGCCACACUUGUGUUUACUUGCAGACACACGUACACAUGUCGGUGACGCUAGAGAGCUGGUCCAGAACAGUGCGAGUUUGAAGUGCGUGUAACGUUUUUGUUUGCGAUUUCGUUUACGGUGUCCGCUGCAAGUGCUAACCCCAGACAAUGGAUUAGAUCAGGGAUUGCCAAACUACUCCAAACAUAGCAGCAUGAGGUCCUCGAGACUUAUCAAAACGAGAUGUAACCGUUCAUCCACUAGCUAAAGAUAACGCCAGAAUAACCCUCGACAAAACUAUUUGCAGAGCAAUGUAGCCCGCGAAUUGAAAAGGUUGGGAGAUCCCUGAAUUAGAUGAUCCCCAAGAAUGGAUUAGAGAUACUGCAGCCUACAUCUAGCUGUCAAGCGCCAUAUAUUUUGGGGCGAAAUUGACCAUGGCAAGUCAUUCUCCAUUGUUUCUCCACUUACAUCGGUGCGGUCCGCUGGCAAACAGAAAAACGACAACAAAAAACCUUUUAUUGGAAGAACAAUUGCCCUUUGCCAAGCGUUUGGCGACAGACUAUCCCAUCCCGUUUGUCACACAGCCUUGAGCUGUGUAUGUUGUGAUAAAUUACUUUCCGUCAAGCGUACGGACGUACGUCUAGCAAACAUGGCCGGCCCACAGACCGUAGUAGCCUACCUGGAACCUACCCCAACCCAAACUCCUGGCCCUGGUGGCUUUUAUUGCGUUGCCACCAGGUCUGGGCAAUUAAUAUCAAUUGUUGUGUGAUGUACGGCAAGGCGAAAAACACACAUCGGGAACACACGCCGGAAAAGGGAAAUUGGUACCGAAACCCAUUAUGCCAAGCAUGGGACACACACAACACACGCAUUGCCCAUUUCCUUGCUUUUGUCCUUUCUUGGGAGAGCGAAAUCAUGUCGUUGCACAACUAACGGUUGGCGGGGUGGUACGCGUCGUCGCACGAUAACCAUCAAUUGCCGGUAACUCUGGACCACAUUGGAAGGUGCUGCGAGGUGGGUGGGUUGUCACACCAAUGUCUGGAACGUUUGGAAAUUGCGUCACCACAAACCACGUUCCGUAACGUACGAUGGUCCGCAGUAGCAGCAGUAGCAGGGAAGUUCUAUUGGAUUAGGACCUCAUUAUGACCUAAUCCACGAUUCGGAGCUUAGUGGCCAACCUAUUUCGAGAGCUACCGAGGGCUAGCAGUGCGCUUCGAUGCAGUCAUUGUACAUUGGCACUUAGCGAGGUGUAAUUUAAUAAAGCCAUUUUACGAAACUAAUCAAACUACUCCUCCUCUUCGACCACCGGAGAUCUUAAUUCCUGCAAUGUCCUUCCAGGCACGCACUUCCAAGCUGAGAAUGUGUGCUAAACAGCACGACCGUGGUGGACUAGAGCGGAUCGCCAUAAAAUGGAGUGUUUGUGUGCGGACGUAAUUGCAAAUAAGUUGUCGUUGCGGUCAGGCGCACUACCUUAUUCGCCGUUCUUUCCCCAUUCCCCAUUCCCAUUUAGAAACUAUAA